UACGUAGGGGGCUAGCGUUGUCCGGAUUUAUUGGGCGUAAAGAGCGUGUAGGCGGCCAGGUAGGUCUGCUGUGAAAACUCGAGGCUCAACCUCGAGACGUCGGCGGAAACCAUCUGGCUAGAGUCCGGAAGAGGAGAGUGGAAUUCCGUGGUGUAGCGGUGAAAUGCGCAGAUAUCAGGAAGAACACCCGUGGCGAAGGCGGGUCUCUGGGCCGAUACUGACGCUGAGGAGCGAAAGCGUGGGGAGCGAACAGG
rnacentral:rRNA from 1 species